GGGCCUCGAGCUCAUCUGGCAGAGCAGCGGACUCUUCAUCCGCGGGUUGUGGGUUCGAUCCCCACGGGGCCCA
rnacentral:tRNA from 1 species